rnacentral:rRNA from 1 species
GAACGCUGGCGGCGUGCUUAACACAUGCAAGUCGAACGGAAAGGCCCUGCUUGCAGGGUACUCGAGUGGCGAACGGGUGAGUAACACGUGGGUGAUCUGCCCUGCACUUCGGGAUAAGCCUGGGAAACUGGGUCUAAUACCGGAUAGGAGCCAUUUUUAGUGUGAUGGUUGGAAAGUUUUUUCGGUGUAGGAUGAGCUCGCGGCCUAUCAGCUUGUUGGUGGGGUAAUGGCCUACCAAGGCGGCGACGGGUAGCCGGCCUGAGAGGGUGGACGGCCACAUUGGGACUGAGAUACGGCCCAGACUCCUACGGGAGGCAGCAGUGGGGAAUAUUGCACAAUGGGCGCAAGCCUGAUGCAGCGACGCCGCGUGGGGGAUGACGGCCUUCGGGUUGUAAACUCCUUUCGCUAGGGACGAAGCUUUUUGUGACGGUACCUAGAGAAGAAGCACCGGCUAACUACGUG